UUGCUUCGUGGGCUUAUUCCCCACGCACCACUUAUUCUCCCCCGUCCCUAUUCCGACCCCUCUAAGCCCCCUCUCUCCCUUUCUCUCUCUCUCUCUCUCUCUAAACCCUACUCUCGUCUCCUUCCCCCUCCUCAAAUCAAACCCGCCCAUGGCGACGACGCCGUCUCUGCUCCCGCCGCCGGAAUCCGCGGCGCCGAAGGAGGGCGGCGCCGCCGCCGCCGCCGCCGACGGCGGCGGAGGAGGGGUGGUGGCGGCGGUGCUGCGGCGGUGGAGGCGAGAGGAUCUCCUGGAGCGGGGCUCGCUCCUCCUCCGGGGCUCCGCGUGGGUGUUCUCGCUCAUCGCGCUCGUCGUCAUGGCCUCGAACAAGCACGGCGAUUGGAGGAACUUCCACCGCUACCAGGAGUACAGGUAUCUGGUGGUGAUCACGGCACUGGCGGUGCUGUACUUGACGGUGCAGGUGCUGAGGCAGGCCUACCAACUGAGCGGCAGAAUCGACCCGGUGCGAAAGCCGACUGCAGAGAUCAUCGAUUUCGCAGGAGAUCAGCUGAUCGCGUACCUGCUCAUCUCUGCACUAUCUGCUGCUAUUCCUCUCACGGAUCGCCUUCACAGAGUCAUACAUAACACAUUCGUCGAUUCAUGCGCCGCCUCGAUUAGCAUGGCCUUUUUCGCUUUCGUGGCCCUCGCUCUCUCAGCUCUCGUAUCUGGUUUUAGACUCUCCAAACAAUCGUACAUCUAACGUACCUACGUAGAGUAUACAUACCCCUGUACAAUUCUCUCCAUCUCGCGAGACUACUAUAAGGUCGGGUCGGGUCGGGUCGGGUCUUCAUCUUUGGCAUCUGGAUCCGUUCCGUUUGCAUCCGUUGUACCCACCGUUUCCUGUCACGCGGCUUCAAGUAUUAAUCUCCCACCUUACAUACAUCAUCACCGUCCAAUCAUGAUCACACGGCUCAGAUACACCUGAAAAAUAUACCCCUAGACCCGGCACCCGGUAUAUUCAACAAUCGGAAAAACCAGCAUCGGGCUCUGCGAUCGGAUAAGGUCGGCGCAAGAUCCGACAAAAAUAUGUACAUACGUAUCCCUUUCCCC